rnacentral:misc_RNA from 1 species
GGAAGGAUCAUUCUUGAAAAUAUACAUAUACAUAUACAUCUCAACUUUUGUUGUGUAGUUGUGUGUAUUGUCAUUCAAAAAAUAUGUGUGAAAUGUGCCCGUCUGAUUGCGGCUGUAUCAUCAUUGUCGCUGCUGCUAGUGCUACUACGUGUGUACUAAUGCUGAUGUUUAAUCAUUAUGAUUGACUCUUCAGUGUUAUGUUACUGUGUAGUAGUAGUGGUGGUAUUCUCUGUUGCAACACCUCCGGAUUUCUUAAGCCUAGAGUUGUGUGUGUAAUAUUAUAUAUAUGUAUAUAUAACGUUAGCUAUUUGUAUGUGCAUGCAUUCAAUGACGCUUUUGUUGUUACUUAUAUAUACAGCGCCAGCCAGGAUUGGAGUAUAUUCUGGAGCGUGUUUGACAAGAGGGGUUACGAUGCUGACGAUGAUGAUGAGGCUGCGAACAGACAACAGAUUUAUUUUGAUUUAAUUGUAAUCUAUAUUAUGUUAUGUGUCUUGAAAAUAUACAAAACAAAAAAACAAUGACAACUUUUAGCAACGGAUCUCUAGGCUCUCGCAACGAUGAAGAACGCAGCAAACUGCGAAACGUAGUGUGAAUUGCAGACCGUGAAUCAUCGAAUCUUUGAACGCACUUUGCGCUGUCUGGAACACCGGGCAGCAUGUCUGUUUGAGCAUCAUUUCUCUAUCCUUUGUCCUACUGAUUAUAGCUGCUGCCGCUGCUACUGCUACUACUGCUACUACUGCGUGUAUUUAUAUGUGUAUGUGGGUGGUGAUGGUGGGAGUUGGUGUGGUAGCGCUGUCGGGAAGACAAAGGGAAUUGUGGUUUAUCAUCCGUGUAUAUACAGCUAACUACUGUGUAUAUGCUGCGGUGUUAUACAACAUUGCUAAGUGGUGAUAUCCCAUUAAAGUGAUCAGAGAGUUUAUUCUAUUGAGCUCUUCAAAGACGUAGUUCCUUUGUGAAACUAUCUUUUGGAUUGAGUUGUCAGUAAGCUUUUCUGUACUUCAACUCUGUUGUUGUACUUCUGUAGUGUUGAUUUUACUGUCUGUGUCAGAGCAGACUCUAGUAAAAACCACGAACAAGUACAAUGUAUGCAGAGAAAAACAAUCCAUUCAUUGUCGUGUAAACUACAAAUACUAACAUUACAUGACUCCGACUAUGUGGCUGGCAAUGCGUAUGACUGUGUGUCCAUGACUAUUACUAUUACUGUUACAAGUAGUGGUGGUGGUGGUGGUGGUAGUGGUGGAAGUAACACAGAGUCGUGCACCAGUACACUGGUUGCAGUAUUGUGUAAAUAUAGUAAAGUGUGCGCGUUAACUGUGUGUGGAUAUAAUGUUGUUUAGAAACUUGAUCUCAAAUCAGACAAGAUUACCCGCUGAACUUAAGCAUAUUAUUAAGCGGAGGAAAAGAAACUAACAAGGAUUCCCAUAGUAACGGCGAGUGAAGUGGGAAUAGCUCAAAUUUGUAAUCUCUUCGGAGAAUUGUAAUUUGUAGAAGCGUUUUCGACGGUUAACCGGGUAGAAGUCCCUUGGGAAAGGGCGUCACAGAGGGUGAGAAUCCCGUUCGUGAUCCGGGUACACCGCAUAUGAUACGCUUUCAAAGAGUCGGGUUGUUUGGGACUGCAGCCCUAAAUUGGUGGUAUAUUCCAUCUAAAGCUAAAUACAGGCGAGAGACCGAUAGCGAACAAGUACUGUGAAGGAAAGAUGAAAAGAACUUUGAAAAGAGAGUUAAAAGUACGUGAAAUUGCUAAAAGGGAAACGUUUGAAAUCAGUGUAGCUGAGUGAAGUUCAGCCAUUCGUACCGGAUGGUGUAUGCUUCGCUUGGCAAGUCAGCAUCGGUUUAGUCGGAAGGAUAAACCAUGGGAAAGGUAGCUCCUUUCGGAGUGUUAUAGUCUCAUGGAAAACUUUUGAGUGGACCGAGGAAAGCCUUAUGUGCAGGAUGUUGACGAAAUGGUUUCAAAUGACCCGUCUUGAAACACGGACCAAGGAGUCUAACACAUAUGCGAGUAUUUGGGAUUCAAUCUCGAAUGCGUAAUGAAAGUGAAUGUAGGUGGGACCUUUUUAGGGCACCAUCGACCGAUCUGGAUUUUUAAUGAUAGAUUUGAGUAAGAGCAUAUAUGUUGGGACCCGAAAGAUGGUGAACUAUGCCUGAAUAGGGCGAAGCCAGAGGAAACUCUGGUGGAGGCUCGUAGCGAUUCUGACGUGCAAAUCGAUCGUCAAAUUUGGGUAUAGGGGCGAAAGACUAAUCGAACUAUCUAGUAGCUGGUUCCCUC